CUGGUCUUAGUCAAGUGGUUACCACAACAGACUCAAAAUCUGUCUCCAUUGGAGUUGGUUCGAAACUUACUGACAAGA